GACGAACGCUGGCGGCGUGCUUAACACAUGCAAGUCGAACGGAAAGGCCCUGCUUUUGUGGGGUGCUCGAGUGGCGAACGAGUGAGUAACACGUGAGUAACCUGCCCUUGACUUUGGGGUAACUUCAGGAAACUGGGGCUAAUACCGGAUAGGAGCUCCUGCUGCAUGGUGGGGGUUGGAAAGUUUCGGCGGUUGGGGAUGGACUCGCGGCUUAUCAGCUUGUUGGUGGGGUAGUGGCUUACCAAGGCUUUGACGGGUAGCCGGCCUGAGAGGGUGACCGGCCACAUUGGGACUGAGAUACGGCCCAGACUCCUACGGGAGGCAGCAGUGGGGAAUAUUGCACAAUGGGCGGAAGCCUGAUGCAGCAACGCCGCGUGCGGGAUGACGGCCUUCGGGUUGUAAACCGCUUUCGCCUGUGACGAAGCGUGAGUGACGGUAAUGGGUAAAGAAGCACCGGCUAACUACGUG
rnacentral:rRNA from 1 species